GUCGGUACCUGGCCGAGAGGGCACCAUGGUCCUGAAGGUAAUCUACCUGAGGUGAGGCUCCAGUGUGCUCUGGGUAUGCCGAUCCCGGAGAUUUCCCAAAUGCAGGAAACUCAACUGCGUAAUUUGUGUGUACGUGUCUUUCUUGUUGCGUGAUGUGACAAA
ensembl:snRNA U1 U1 spliceosomal RNA